rnacentral:rRNA from 1 species
AACGAACGCUGGCGGCAUGCCUAACACAUGCAAGUCGAACGAGACCUUCGGGUCUAGUGGCGCACGGGUUCGUAACUCGUGGGAACCUGCCCUUAGGUUCGGAAUAACUCCCCGCAAGGGGUGCUAAUAUCGGAUAAUGUCUUCGGACCAAAGAUUUAUUGCCUUUGGUUGGGCCCGCGUUGGAUUAGCUAGUUGGUAGGGUAAAAGCCUACCAAGGCGACGAUCCAUAGCUGGUCUGAUAGGAUGAUCAGCCACACUGGGACUGAGAGACGGCCCAGACUCCUACGGGAGGCAGCAGUGGGGAAUAUUGGACGAUGGGCGAAAGCCUGAUCCAGUAAUGCCGCGUGAGUGAUGAAGGCCUUAGGGUUGUAAAGCUCUGUUACCCGGGAUGAUAAUGACAGUACCGUGAGAAUAAGCGCCGGCUAACUCCGUG